rnacentral:rRNA from 1 species
GACGAACGCUGGCGGCGUGCCUAAUACAUGCAAGUAGAACGCUGAAGGAGGAGCUUGCUUCUCUGGAUGAGUUGCGAACGGGUGAGUAACGCGUAGGUAACCUGCCUGGUAGCGGGGGAUAACUAUUGGAAACGAUAGCUAAUACCGCAUAAUAGUAGAUGUUGCAUGACAUUUACUUAAAAGGUGCAAUUGCAUCACUACCAGAUGGACCUGCGUUGUAUUAGCUAGUUGGUGGGGUAACGGCUCACCAAGGCGACGAUACAUAGCCGACCUGAGAGGGUGAUCGGCCACACUGGGACUGAGACACGGCCCAGACUCCUACGGGAGGCAGCAGUAGGGAAUCUUCGGCAAUGGACGAAAGUCUGACCGAGCAACGCCGCGUGAGUGAAGAAGGUUUUCGGAUCGUAAAGCUCUGUUGUAAGAGAAGAACGAGUGUGAGAGUGGAAAGUUCACACUGUGACGGUAUCUGACCAGAAAGGGACGGCUAACUACGUG